rnacentral:rRNA from 1 species
GAUGAACGCUGGCGGCGUGCCUAAUACAUGCAAGUCGAGCGAACGGACGAGAAGCUUGCUUCUCUGAUGUUAGCGGCGGACGGGUGAGUAACACGUGGAUAACCUACCUAUAAGACUGGGAUAACUUCGGGAAACCGGAGCUAAUACCGGAUAAUAUUUUGAACCGCAUGGUUCAAAAGUGAAAGACGGUCUUGCUGUCACUUAUAGAUGGAUCCGCGCUGCAUUAGCUAGUUGGUAAGGUAACGGCUUACCAAGGCAACGAUGCAUAGCCGACCUGAGAGGGUGGUCGGCCACACUGGAACUGAGACACGGUCCAGACUCCUACGGGAGGCAGCAGUAGGGAAUCUGCCGCAAUGGGCGGAAGCCUGACGGAGCAACGCCGCGUGAGUGAUGAAGGUCUUCGGAUCGUAAAACUCUGUUAUUAGGGAAGAACAUAUGUGUAAGUAACUGUGCACAUCUUGACGGUACCUAAUCAGAAAGCCCCGGCUAACUACGUG